AUGCGCGCUGCUGCCGCUGCUGCACACUGGCCGGCCGCCACCCACCUGCGCAGGGGAGCGAGCGCCGGCCAGGCCGCGCGGCGCCAUGCCCUGUACCGCACCGAGGAGCGCGGCUGGCCCCGCUCGCUGGUCUACCGCGUCUUCUUCAAGAAUGUAGCUGGUCACUACAUUUCCCCCUUUCAUGAUAUCCCUCUGAAGGUGGAUUCUAAAGAGGAGAAUGGCAUUCCUACAAAGAAAGCACGAAAUGAUGAAUAUGAGAAUUUGUUUAAUAUGGUUGUAGAAGUACCUCGGUGGACAAAUGCUAAAAUGGAGAUUGCCACUGAGGAACCAUUGAAUCCUAUUAAACAAGAUGUAAAGAAUGGCAAGCUACGCUAUGCGGCGAAUAUCUUUCUUCACAAGGGUUAUAUAUGGAAUUAUGGUGCCCUCCCUCAGACUUGGGAAGAUCCCCAUCAAAAAGAUAAGAGCACAAACUGCUGUGGAGAUAAUGAUCCUAUUGAUGUUUGUGAAAUAGGCUCAAAGGUUCUUUCUCGUGGAGAGGUUAUUCAUGUGAAGAUACUUGGAAUUUUGGGUCUCAUUGAUGAAGGUGAAACAGAUUGGAAAUUGAUUGCUAUCAAUGUGAAUGAUCCUGAAGCUUCAAAAUUUCAUGAUAUUGGUGAUGUUAAGAAGUUCAAACCAGGCUACCUGGAAGCUACCCUUAAUUGGUUCAGAGUUUAUAAAGUGCCGAAGGAAAACCAGAAAACCAGUUUGCCUUUAAUGGAGAAUUCAAAAAACAGGCUUUUGCUCUUGAAGUUAUUAAAUCUACUCAUGAAUGUUGGAAAGCAUUGCUGAUGAAGAAGUGUAAUGGAGGGGCUAUAAAUUGCACAAACGUUCAGGUGUGUGAUAGCCCUUUCCAUUGCACUCAAGAUGAAGCAAGAUCCUUAGUUGAAUCGGUAUCAUUUUCACUGAAUAAAGAAAGUGAUGAAGAAGAUGCAGAGCAAGCGUGGUACUUCCUUGGCAAGUGAUUGGAACAUUUGAAAUUCUGCCAU